rnacentral:lncRNA from 1 species
GAGAGAUGCGUUUCAGAUUGGUCUGCGGUGUAGCAUCUUGUGUCUCUAAAAUGAGCUGCUCGUUAUGCGUAGAUAAUCCUUUGUACUGCAGUUUUUUUCAAAGGAUAUAACGUUGGCUAUGGAAAACUACAAAUAUGUUGCUAUCGCUUCCAAUAACAUUGCUGCCCUGAAUUUAUCAGGCGCUUUCGACAAAGGUCAGUGGGAAAAAGUUGAUGGACUACUUUCUGGAGGACGAUCUCUGAUGAAAAACAUUUUAAUUGAAGACACUGUCUUCUGAUGCCAGUGAUGGGGAAGAAACGGAAAUCAACAGUGUUGUCAUGGAAGAAGUUGACCGAGUUUUGAAAUCAGUGGAAUGUCUGUGCAAACUAAAUGAAAACAACACAGGAUGUCUUAUUUAAUGGAAGGGGUUGCAGUCUGCUGUGACGCUUUCAUCCAUGUAUACGGUCUUUCAGCAACAGUAGAACACACCUGACUCUCCUCCACCAGUCACACAAGGAGAAUGGUCUAAUGCCUCCCAUCAAAAAGAGAGCUGGCCCAAGCAAGUACAGGUUACACCUGAAGCAUGGGGACUUGCAGCGAGUGGUGAACUUUAUCAACAAAUACGCAGAGGACAAUGACAUAGUAUUGCCAGAACGACACCAAGGACACAAACACUUUGGAGGCAAGCUACUGCCAUCCCAUGUGGCAAAAGCAGCAGUGUGGCGUCUCACCAAGUGUUGUCAUUGAUUCCUUGUAAUAUGUACGUGUAGUCGGGCUGUCUUCCUUCAGGAAUCUAUGGAGAAAAUUGCAGCGCCACAGCUCAAGCACUAAGCCCAGGACAGACCUGUGCUGGCAGUGCCAGGGGAACAACUGGCAGAUCUGAAGACCUGAUAAUCUGCCAGAAGCUGUUUAAUUAGUCAAGCUGAAGAAGCAAGAGCAGCAUCUCCUGCUUGUUCAGUGAGCGAUCUGUCUACCAGAAGAUGGUUGCUGACUGCAAGACCACCUGUCAAGACUUGCAGUUGUCUCUGGGUUUGCUCAACAAGUGCACUAUCCUUCUGACCCUAUGAAGCCAGGUGCCAUCUACUUUUAACUCCUCGCAAGUGUGGCUUGUUUGGUGUCUGCUGUGAAGGAAUACCACAAGUCGACUACUUGAUUGAUGAAGGCAUGUCAUACAGCAAAGGCAGUAGUGUAGUCAUGUGAAGAACAGCACUUUGACAGGGGUCAACACCCCACAGCUGGUUGGACUGGAGGAUGGUACGGUGCUGGUGGAAAGCUAUGGCUGGCAACAACACCUGACUCCGUACUUCAGGCCGCUGCCACAGAUCAAGCAGUACCAGCACUUCAGACAGCCGUUACAGAACUACCCACCAGACCCGGACCAAGCAACAGAAGAG